rnacentral:tRNA from 1 species
CAAGAAGUAGUUUAAUACAAACAAAGGCCUUGGAAGCCUUAGAUUUAGGUCCUCUAACUUUUUGA